AAUGCAAGUGUUUAGCAGAUGCUGUUCGGCAAAAAUCUUCUUUUUAAAUAAACUCAUUAAACCAAAAUAUUGGAUCAUUUCAACCCAGGUACAGUAUGUCGCCGAGAAUUUUGAUGGAAAAAAAUAGCGGCACGGUCAGUUCAGUUAUUGCUUUACAAAGUGUUUGUGUGGAACUAGCAGAGGAAAACAUAAAAACAGCUUCAGGAGGCACUUGCCGAUUAACCAAUGGUGAUAUACAUACACCAGAAACACUUUAGCUUAUUGCUAGUUAAUGCACACAGAGAGCUCACUAGCAAUACGUUUUCAUGCCGAGAGAAAUGCAGUUAUUAUGGCUACUCAUUGGACAUGAGUUUCAAGUACAAAACUAUUGGAUCUGACUUUAUAGCAACUGACUUCUAAAAUGAGCAAACAAUAUGGUCAGGGAGAUGGUUUUCAAAGAAUGAGUUGCUUUUAAAUAAGAACAAUAAAAACAAAUCAAAUGAUUCUCUUCCAGCUUGCUAAGUUAAUGUACAUACCACGACAUCUAUUCAUCCGAACCAGUUAUAUGCCUGAAAUCAGUUGCAUGCUUGUUUAACUAGCCUGACUGGAAUAAUGCAAUAAGUUAGGCUGCUGCAUCCACUGGUUAAGUCUCUUCGAACUGGAUGAGCAAGAAGAGCAAGAGAUGAGAAAAGUCUCUUAAUAAUAUACUGGAACUGAGUACAUGGCAUUUUGUCAUGUAAAGCUCAGCGGAUGAUCUGUGCCAGCAGGAGGAAUCCUACGGAGGGCGCAAUUCAGCAGCAGCGUCUUCACCUUCCCUGAGUGAAAUAAGAAGUGUAUAGCUAUCUGCUUUACAAGACACUGUGCACCAGAAUAUGCACCCAAAGAAGCAAAGCAUCACAAUUGUUUUUCAGUCCCAAUGGUUGUCAUUGUAGUUCAUCAUAUGUGCACACACGCUAUACGCCCCAAACAGCCAGAACAGCUCCAACAUUUAUUUUGCAUCUUACUUGUCUUCCCCUCCCUCCCCGCGAAAAGAUUCAAAAUGCAUGAUAGCGGUUCGAAAAACAUUUUUCAGCUUGGUCGUGUGUGCUAUUUUUGAAAGCAGUCAGAAUUAAACUAAAUAUUUGAAAAGGAGUAGAUAGCUCAUGGUUUUGUAAAAAAUACUGAUCUUUUCAUAUAUUUAUUUUCUUCUGUUUACCCAAGAUAAAUAAAAGUAAACAGGCCAUAAGGGUUUAAUGAAAUGAAACAGGCCAGAGGAAUAGAACCCCAUGUUCUGUGUUUUAGGAGAAUGACAUCCUAAUAGGUGUUGUCCUUUUCUAAACCCUAUUUUAAAUUAUUUUUUAAAUAGAGACGUGAAUUUAACAAACCAUCAAACACAAAAGCUGGGGGGGGGCAGAAGUAGAUUAAACUAUAAAGUAAAGAAUCAAUGGAAUCUACAGCUUUGAAAACUGAAAUAUAGUAUAAUACCUGGAAUUUCGCAUACAAAUGUCUUCCCUAAAGAACCAAAUUCAUCCAGCAUUGCCCAAUUCUCAACAUUAGUUUAAUAACUUAAAAAAAUAAUGAUCCAUGGUGUACAUUGACUGGAUAACCCUAUUCUGAAAAGCCUUACUAGCAAGGGUAAUUCUUACUCAAGGAAGUAGUUACCCUUACUCAAUGGGACAGUUGUCUUGAAUAACAACAGCUCAUGUAAGUAAGGAUUUGCAGGAUCGGACCCAAGAGGUAUCUCCAGCAUCUUUCUUGAAUAAGUUUAUGAAUUUUUCUAUUCUGAUUUUAGAAUGACUUGCUUAGAAGAUAGUAAUACACGUUGUUCCUAAUUAGGCUCUAAGUAAUCUAAACAAAAUACACAGUUUUAGUGCUUAAAUUCUCCUUUACCUUAUCCCUCCAAAAUAUUAUGGAACACAGAAUCUUGGCUUUUUGAAUGCGGAUUUAAAAUCUGGCCCGUGGCUGGAAAUGUUUAGAUCAGGUACCCCCAGCUUCUUCUAACUACACUACCUGGCUGGGAGCAGACAAGCAGAAAGAUGGAGCUUUUUUGUGGAUGUUUAAAAACUGAGGCCUUUACAAGCCAACUCUGGGUUUGACCCCUUCACCUCAUUGGAGGAGCCAGGGUUCCCCUUAUCCUUGUUUGUGCCCUAACUACCUCACAGCAAGCACUGUCUCCCCGUGAAUCGUUUGAAAGUUUAGACGUGUUCAAAUUUAUAGAGUGCAUAAUGUCAUUGACCUGAGACCAAAUAUAUUAGAAAGAGAGAUAAUUCUCAAAUGUAUUUUGAAGUGUCUAAGUACCAAGUGCCCUAUGGAUGGAAAUCUGCAUACUACUAAACCUCCAUUUAGAAGUCCAUAAACUAAACUCAACACAGAAACUCUGCAAUAAUAUGGAGUUUUGAAGGGACGCUGGAGAAAUAUCAUUUGAAGUCAAACCUGUCAAUUCGCGUUAAUGAAAAUAACUCUUGCCAUGAUAGUUGCACUCAGUUACACUCAUGCAGUCACAUCAUUGAUUUCAACGGGUCUAGCAAAGGGCAGAAUUUGGCCCUGCAAGUCUGCUUUAAUUGCGGUGGAUGGACGUAUAGGAACCCUGGUGUUCGUUACUAUUAUCAGUACUGAAGGGUGCAAAUAUUUAAGGCAUGAUAAUCUGUGCCAUUAAGUGUGUAUUUUAUACAUACGCGUAUAUAAACCCCAACAACAAGAUAGCGUUCACUUUGUAAGUUUAAAUGAUGUGCAGCAAACACAUGAACAUACCAAUUUUACCCCUGCAUGUGUGAGCAAUUAUUCAAAGAUUGCUUCUAUUUGGGACGAAGGAUACAGAGUUGUAUUGAUGCCACUUAAAAGAAUUUAAGAAACCCAGUGAUCCCCAGAAGAAUAAUAAAGCCUUCAUAAAAUACUCUAUUGAACAGACAAUAUUUCUUAUUGAGUUUGUGGUGUUCACAUAGUUUCCCCUCGUUUAAUAUUGUUUGCUUUACUGGGGGAACUGUGUUUUGAAGCUGCUUUUAAAAUCAGUGCUGAUGGGAUUGCUUGGGCGAAAGGAAUUGUUUGGAUCAAUAAAUAUUUUCCUGUUAACGUUAGGUUUACGUGCUUGCAGGAAACAAAGAUUAGCCUGGCAUUACUUUGGUUGUAUGCUAACAAAAAAUAAGCACUUUUAUUGUCAAUAUUAAUGGAGACACUCAAUUUAGCUUUGGUUUUAAGCAGUGUUCAGAGAUAAAAAGCAACCUUACUUGAUCUAAAAAUAUUCCCCUGGAGCUUCGGAAAAUAACUGUAAUUUUGCCCAAACUGCCAAAAUGUUAAUGUCGUAUUUUCUGUGCCACUCGGUUCAUCUACCUGCUGUAACAUAUUGUGCUAUGACUUGCCCACUAAUUAUUCAAAUACAAAGAGUUGUGGUUGAAAGCAGCUGCCUACAGCAAAUGUUGUGUAACACACUUGUUCAGAAGCAUCAGCGUGUUUAGCUGCAUCCACCACAAUUCCUAUAUAUGUAUCUAAAUGUAAUUGAUCUAGUUGAGUGACGUCCUUUUUGGUAAUUUGGAUACACCAAGUCUCCAGUUAAUGACACAUAAUCAGCCUUUAGGUCACUUGGUCAUUCUCUUAUUACAAACCCCUCCUGCUCUCUCUGAUCUCCUUUCAAACUAAAUUUCACACAAACAAAUAAAGUAAGACAGGGACAAGGGAGAAAUAUUGGAAAACUUCUGAUAGAGCACUGUAAACAUUUGAGAAGAAAAUCUAAAAGAGGAUAGGAAAGAACAUCUUAUCAAAAAGAGAGCAUUGUGUACAAAACUUGAAGAGAAAAAGUUCUGGCUUAUGUUAGAAAUGACACAAAAUUAAAAUAAAAAUAAUUACUAACAGAAAUGUCAUAACAUAAACACAGAAGGCAAGAGACUUACUGGAAAUGCGCACCAGUAGUGUAAUUUAUUGUUAUAGAUUAUACAACUGAUAUGUGAUUCGAAAAAUGUUUCUUUGACUCACUUUGACCAGCAAAAACUUUUUAUUUUUUACACUUAUUUUAUGAAAGCGAAAGAAACGGAACAGAUUGAGAAAUAAAGACCAAAAAUGUAAUUUACUUGUAAAAAUCUAUAGAAAAAAAUGAAACGACUUCAUGGACAUAGCAUUGUGUUAAUUUGAAAAUAAAAAUCAAUAUUUUAU